AUGAACGCGCGGCAUUUGCAAACACGUGCUAAUGACGCAAUCAAUUGGAGACGCCUUUUCCCGCGAACUCAUCUCAUCUCUCCUGGGAGAGCAGUCUUUAUAGGAAACAUGCCCUUUGUCUUCAUGCUGGGAUUAAGAAAAAACAGAAAGCGUAAAAUACCUCAAGAGGAUGCAGAACAUUACAUUUGUUGUAAAAGUGACAAACCUGCAAGUGCAAUUCAUCAACAAUUACAAAGGAGGAUGAGUUUUCACCACUGAAGCUUUAUUCAGAGGGGAUUUUGUUCUUGAUUACAAGUUUGGGUGCAUGGAUGCAUCGAAAGAAGAUGGGUCUUAAGGGAGACUUGUAAAUGAUGACCACAAAGCUCCUAACUGCAAAAUGAAAAUCAUAUCUUUGCUGUGUGCAACAUACUUCCAGGAGAAGAUAUAACCUACAAUUAUGGAGAUUCUGGUUAUGUCCCAUAAUGUUCUGUCUCCUCACCUGCUUUGGACAACGUGAAGAUGAGUGAUCCUCACAAACAAACUGAGCCACAACAGUCAGACAAAGCAAGAAGAUCAGGGAAUAAGACG
ensembl:processed_transcript